rnacentral:lncRNA from 1 species
UAGUGUCACAACACGAAUGGGAUGAGACUUUCCAUCCUUCCAAUUGAAGCGGACACAGUAUGUAUUGGUCUACGCAUUGUCAGUAUCCCUCCGACAAUCCAACGACCAGGAACCUUUUGGACAUAAUGGUUAUGUGAAGAAGGUCUCUGUAGUCUAACAUCAUUAGAUUACUUCUCCAAUCGAUCCAUUGUCCAUGGAUACACUAUUCAGGACAUAUAUCGUUUAUUGAGAUAGUCCUAAUUAGCAUCUUUGCCAUUUGAUGUAUAAGAAUCAUCCAUACAUCGAUUCAUUUGUCCUGAAAGAUUUCUUCCAAAGAUUGA